CUCUCGACGGACAACACGUCUGUUCACUCCGGUCUACGGCGGCCGGCGCGGCGGUCGUCCGUGGUGGCCAGCCAGAGCGUCUCACCGUCACCGUCGAUGCGUCAGUGUUGAUUCACACCCCGUGCUGGCUACUUCAGUGCUGCUGUAGCUGCCACCGCUGCCACUACUUGUACAACUUUGCUGCUGCUACAACUGUAGUGCUUCAUUCAAUAGUUACUUCUAGUGUACUAGCCUAGUAACCGGGUAAGCAUGAACAAUUUACUAAUUUUUUUUUAUUUUUCGUCGUUUAUUUUAAACAUAUUUUAUUUAAAUAUAUUAUUAAGUUUGAAUUAUAAUACCAGUUAUUAUUUUUAUCAUCAUAUAUUAUCUACCACUAGAUAAUAUAAAUUCUACUGAGAAAUUUACAAGCAUUUAAAAUUUAUGCGAUAGUUAAAUGUUCAUACGUUAAGAAUGAAAAAAAAAUGUUAAACGAUUUCGUAUAGGAAAUAUACCAUAUUAUAUGCGUAUUUUUUUUUUUUACAUACAUUCGGCCAAUUCGAAAAUGAAUUUAUUCCAGAAAUUUAACGUUACAAUAUUGUCAAACAUUUAUUGUAUUCUACAUUGACUGUAUGCUGUACCCGCCAUUAUCAAAAUCGUCUAAAUAAUUAUUUACUCCCGAAUUCGCCUUAUGAAUAUAUACCCACGUAAUAGUUAUUUAAGAGAUUAUAGGUGUUGCGAGCGAGUUUCAUGCAUCAGCUUAUAAUAAUAUAUUCGUUUAAGCCGGGGGUCGGGAACGUGUGGGUAAACGGUUGACGGUUCAAUUUGUUUUUUUUUUUUUCUGUUUUUCUAACGGAAACCGGCCGGCGACGACGGUUAAAAUGUACGUUAGGAUCGCGUGCGGCGGCGGCGGCGUCCGCCGCGGACUAAGCGCGUCGGGGGCACGCCGGAGAGGGGCCGCGCGGACGGUCAGCGGGGCGCGACGCGACUUUUAUGGGACGGCGGGGGGAAGGCGCGGGGGAAACAGCCGCCCGGCGCGGAAUAAUUUGCAUUCGGCGGGGCUCGUGCCCGUCGCCGCCGCCGACGCCUCGCGAUUUCCCACCCCGCCCGAGUAUUGAUCGCGUGAGUCACCCUCCGUGCACGGCGGCGGCGGGGCGUGCGGUACCGUCCUCGCGGAGGGGUGUGUCGGGGCGGUGGCCGCGCACACGCAUAUUAUAUAUUUAUCUGUACACCCGCGCGCGUGUCGUACUUGCGCGUACUGUUUUUUUUUUUUUUAUUUUUUUUUUCAAACGAUUUAUCGGCGAGAGGAAAACGCGUUUGUGCGUGCGGACACGGAACGGGUAUUAUACUUGUGCGCGCCGCAGGAGUAACGGAAUAAAUAAUACGACGGGAGAAAUAAUAACGGGGGGGGAGAGGGGGAAAAAAUAAUAAUAAUAACAAUAAAAAAAAAUUCGCGGACCCUUCCGAUACGCGCCGACCCUUUAAUAUUGUGCGCGUUCGCCACGCCAAGGGAGCGAGAGUUCGUUGACACGGCGGCGGCGACGGGUUUAACAUUAUAAUAAUAUACGAAAAAGGGAGGAAAAAAGUACAAAUAAAAAUAAACAGGAGGGGGACGACAAUGACUGACGCGCGCGUAAACCGAUAAUCGCUGUACGGAUCACGGCGAUCAUUACGUUAUUAUAACAAAUAAUAAUAUGUACCGGGCGAUAUUUUUUCGAUAGGCCUUCGCGAUUCGUUUUCGGAACGGCGACUUUGUUUUUCGUAAACUAAAUUUUUUUUUUUUUUAUUCCGGUUCUUCCGGACUGUUUCAGAGACUGUUUCGGGAACGCCCGUAUGACGCCCUCGUUGACGAUGUCCGAACGCCUGCAGUAACAACGCGCGUGUUCAGCCUGCCGGAACGCCGAAGAGGAGACGGCGGCGUCGGUCCGCGCCGCUAUAUACCUACACUAUCGCCGAUGAUUGUCACUGCACGGGGGCGAUUAGUCUUCGUUGUAGUGAUGCUCUACAUCUACCCUGUAGAUCCGAAUUUGUUUGAAAAACGGCGACAAAUUCGGUUCUAGAGAGGUUUGUGUGGUGCAUAUUCCUUACGACCAGAAUUUGAAUUUGCCCCCCCCCCCCCAUCGGUUUUAUUUUUGUUCAAUUUUUCUAUCGCAUUGCAUUAUAUUAUAUACUUAUACCGAAUUGGAAUAGUCAAAUUCACGCGUUCAUGUACCGCACGACCGUACCUGCAGCUGAACAUAAAAUUAUAUGUACAUUUAUUACUAUUGUUGUUAUUAUUAUUGUUACUAUUAUUGUUAUAUUAUGAAAUAAAAAUUAUACACGUAUAAUAUUAUGUAAUAUGUAUUUUGUUUUGCGGUAACAAAAAAAAAAAAAAACCAUUUUUUAACCAUUGUACAAUUAUUAUUGAUUAACUAUAGGUAUACAAUAACCCGACUUGUGUGUUUUAUGUUUUUUUCUUCGGAUAUUCCCGCCUAGCAUAAAUAAUUAUUACUGUAUACAUUACACCUAUAAUAAAAACGUUAAUACCAU
rnacentral:lncRNA from 1 species